GAAUUCUGGUGCAAACGCCACAUAAGGUAAAAUAACGUCAUAGCUCGUUUAGCCAAUGAGGCGCCGCUUUAUAUAUAUAGCUGUGUGAUGGUAAAUUUCCCGCGAUCCCGUAGGAUGCAAACAUCCGAAUGAUGCUGAUCACUGAAGCGACAUGCCGACAACAGCUGCAGGUGUGCAGAAGAAUGACCACAACAUUGAAGUCAACUUUAAUGAUGACAACUGUAAAGGCUCCUGUAAUCAAGAGAGUUCUGAGGUUAGUGACAUUGGUCACAUAUCUAUGCCUAUAGGAGGACCAUCAGAAAUUCCAGCUCCCUGAUGCAUCAAAAGAACGGCUUUUUAAAGAUGAUGUUCAGCCCAGGUCAUAUAAGGAUGUGCCAGGAUUGGGAGGUGGAGGAAAGCCGAAGUACCCGGAGAAAAACCACCGGCCUACGUCGCAGCUUCAGCCUGCAGAAAAGGUUGUUGGUAAAAAGAGAGGAAGAUCUGGCAUGAGACAUUUAAAUGUGCUACAAAUGUUUCAAACCAAUGAUGCCUUGACAUAUGACAGAAUGCAUGAAAGCCCUAUAACCUUUUGUGCCAGAGAGAUAUUGCUGGUGACCAUGUGGCUGGUAUUGAAAUAUAUAGGAAGUUCCACUACAGACAACAUUAGACACCAAGACUAAGAUCUUCAUUAUUGAUACAUUCUUAUGUAUAUGUAACAGAAGAAAUAAUCAUUGAUUCUUUCUUUGUAGCCCACCAUCUAUUCAAAUCACCUUUCAUCUGUUGACCAUUCUUAAACAAUUCUUGUUAUUGCUAUUUCUUAGAGAGCACUAAAGGGAUUAUUUUUAUUAGCUCACCUGGUCAAAAGGGCCAGUGAGGCUAUGCCAUGUAGCAGGGUCCGUCAUCUGUUAACAUUUCUUUUAAAUAGCUACAAGUCCUGAACAAAUGAAUUAAUUUUGAUGAAAUUCUGUCUGGGGAAUUAUUGGGCAAAGGAGACCUAUUGUUGUAUAAAUGGAAGGCGUGGCUCUGUUGGGUCCAGAGAGGGGGCCUAACAGGGGAAAUGUUGCAAAAAAAAAUGAAAUGCUAACAAACCUCUUAAAUUCCUCCUUUUUGAAGAAUGACAGGAUUUGGUCCAUUUCCAAUUAAACCAAGUUGGAAAAUGCAGCAUAAAAGGUAGAAAAAUGAUUGCAAUAUGACAAAGUAUUUUGCCUUGAUUAAUGAAAUAUAAAGAUGAGCGAUACAGGCUCUUGUAUUUUAUAUGUAGCUUUCCCAUGGUCCUUAGUUGUGCAUUUUCCAUUAUGUGACAGAUUACAAUCAGUAAUGGCAACCAGGAGCUAUGUUAAAUUUUGGCUAUUGAAGUUUGUUUCCGCUAUUUCUUAGAAAAUGAUGAAUGCAUCUUUCCCUAAGAAAAUGAUGAAUGCAUCUUACUCAAAUUACUUAUGUAGGUUCGCCUUGGUCCCUUAAUAUGCUUGUUCAAUUAUAGGACCCAUCA